rnacentral:rRNA from 1 species
CCUACGGGAGGCAGCAGUGAGGAAUAUUGGUCAAUGGGCGCGAGCCUGAACCAGCCAAGUAGCGUGAAGGAUGACUGCCCUACGGGUUGUACACUUCUUUUAUAAAGGAAUAAAGUGAGGCACGUGUGCCUUUUUGUAUGUACUUUAUGAAUAAGGAUCGGCUAACUCCGUGCCAGCAGCCGCGGUAAUACGGAGGGUCCGAGCGUUACUCGGAAUUACUGGGCUUAAAGCGAUCGUAGGCGGUAUGUUAAGUCAAGGGUGAAAGCCCGGGGCUCAACGUUGGAACUGCCUUUGAAACUGGCAAACUGGAGUGUGUGAGAGGAGAGCGGAAGUCGUGGUGGAGGAGUGAAAUCCGUAGAUAUCUGGAGGAACAUCAGGGGAGAAGGCGACUAGCUGGAACAUAACUGACGCUGAGGAGCGAAAGCGUGGGUAGCAAACAGGAUUAGAUACCCCAGUAGUC